rnacentral:lncRNA from 1 species
UUUUAUCCUCAAAAUUUGUAUCUUUGAUGUUUCAAAACAGGGAGUCAUUUAAUGAUGCACAAACGAAAUCAGAAGAAUGACAACUCGAAACUAGAGAAUCAGACACACUUUAAUUCAUUCCAAUUAUGACGAAGAGACUCGCCAAAAGAAAACUCAUGGGGUGACAAUAACCAACACCCAGAAAUCACAAAGAGAAAAUCAAACAAUUUUAAAUGGAUCCAUCUAUGGCUUUGAUUCACAAUACACAUAAGAGUAGAAGGAAGAAAUGAACCUGCUGCGUCUUUAAUAAAUUUUGCUCGCAAUCAAAUUCAACUAAAUCCGGCAGUGAAAAUCCACGACAAACAACCACAAAGAAAUAAGAACUAACAAUCACGAACGGCACCGCAAAUCUCAGGCGGACUCGCACACAGACCCAAAGUUCAUUCAAACUCCAUUUUUCAAAUCAAAAUCGAGAUUCAAAAGAAGAAAUAGAAGAAGUAAAAGAGAUAUCUAUAUUAUUUUUUCUGGAAUUUCAAAAGAACCAUAAAUUAAAAAAUACUUCAAGAAUUCUUAAACCCUAUUGUUUUUUUUCCCCAGAUUUCUACUCCGAAAAUCCCCAUUUUUCAUUCUAAAAGCUCCCUUAGAUAGACCACCUAGAAACUUCCUCUUCUUCUCCAAGAAAUCCACCAAAAACGCAACUUUCAUUCUCCAGUUUCUUUGUAAAAAAAACACGGAUUAAUGGGAGUCAUGGAUUCGGUUUUAACCUAAUCCAACCGCUCCCAUUUAUCCAAAACUCAUCUCAAU